CCUACGGGUGGCUGCAGUGGGGAAUAUUGCACAAUGGGGGAAACCCUGCUGCAGCACCGCCGCGUGAGUGAAGAAGUAUUUCGGUAUGUAAAGCUCUAUCAGCAGGGAAGAGAAUGACGGUACCUGACUAAGAAGCCCCGGCUAACUACGUGCCAGCAGCCGCGGUAAUACGUAGGGGGCAAGCGUUAUCCGGAUUUACUGGGUGUAAAGGGAGCGUAGACGGCUGUACAAGUCUGAAGUGAAAGCCCGCGGCUCAACCGCGGAAUUGCACAUAAAACUGGUAAGCUGGAGUGCAGGAGAGGUAAGUGGAAUUCCCGGUGUAGCGGUGGAAUGCGUAGAUAUCGGGAGGAACACCAGAGGCGAAGGCGACUUACUGGACUGUAACUGACGCUGAGGCUCGAAAGCGUGGGGAGCAAACAGGAUUAGAUACCCCGGGUAGUC
rnacentral:rRNA from 1 species